rnacentral:rRNA from 1 species
UAGGGAAUCAUCGGCAAUGGGGGAAACCCUGACCGUGCAAUGCCGCGUGAGUGAAGAAGGCCUUAUGGGUUGUAAAGCUCUGUUGCGAAGGAAGAACAAUCUAGAUAGAAUCUAGAUCUGACGGUACUUCGCCAGAAAGCCAUGGCUAACUAUGUGCCAGCAGCCGCGGUAAUACAUAGAUGGCAAGCGUUAUCCGGAUUUAUUGGGCGUAAAGGGUGCUCAGCUGGUUUAUUAAGUCUGUAGUUAAAUUUCGAGGCUCAACUUCGAACUGCUAUGGAAACUGGUAGACUUGAGUACAGGAGAGGGUAGUGGAAUUCCAUGUGAAGCGGUAAAAUGCGUAGAUAUAUGGAGGAACACCAGUGGCGAAGGCGGCUACCUGGCCUGUAACUGACGGUCAAGCACGAAAGCGUGGGGAGCAAAUA